rnacentral:rRNA from 1 species
GAUGAACGCUGGCGGCGUGCUUAACACAUGCAAGUCGAACGGUGAAGCAGGAGCUUGCUCUUGUGGAUCAGUGGCGAACGGGUGAGUAACACGCGAGCAACCUGCCCCUGACUCUGGGAUAAGCGCUGGAAACGGCGUCUAAUACUGGAUAUGUGAUGUGACCGCAUGGUCUGCAUCUGGAAAGAAUUUCGGUUGGGGAUGGGCUCGCGGCCUAUCAGCUUGUUGGUGAGGUAAUGGCUCACCAAGGCGUCCACGGGUAGCCGGCCUGAGAGGGUGACCGGCCACACUGGGACUGAGACACGGCCCAGACUCCUACGGGAGGCAGCAGUGGGGAAUAUUGCACAAUGGGCGGAAGCCUGAUGCAGCAACGCCGCGCGAGGGAUGACGGCCUUCGGGUUGUAAACCUCUUUUAGCAGGGAAGAAGCGAAAGUGACGGUACCUGCAGAAAAAGCACCGGCUAACUACGUGCCAGCAGCCGCGGUAA